rnacentral:rRNA from 1 species
UACGGAGGGUGCAAGCGUUAUCCGGAUUCACUGGGUUUAAAGGGUGCGUAGGUGGGCAGGUAAGUCAGUGGUGAAAUCUCCGGGCUUAACCCGGAAACUGCCAUUGAUACUAUCUGUCUUGAAUAUCCUGGAGGUGAGCGGAAUAUGUCAUGUAGCGGUGAAAUGCUUAGAUAUGACAUAGAACACCCAUUGCGAAGGCAGCUCACUACGGGAUGAUUGACACUGAGGCACGAAAGCGUGGGGAGUCAAACAGG